rnacentral:rRNA from 1 species
AUUGAACGCUGGCGGCAGGCUUAACACAUGCAAGUCGAGCGGGGGAAGGUAGCUUGCUACCGGACCUAGCGGCGGACGGGUGAGUAAUGCUUAGGAAUCUGCCUAUUAGUGGGGGACAACAUCUCGAAAGGGAUGCUAAUACCGCAUACGUCCUACGGGAGAAAGCAGGGGAUCUUCGGACCUUGCGCUAAUAGAUGAGCCUAAGUCGGAUUAGCUAGUUGGUGGGGUAAAGGCCUACCAAGGCGACGAUCUGUGGCGGGUCUGAGAGGAUGAUCCGCCACACUGGGACUGAGACACGGCCCAGACUCCUACGGGAGGCAGCAGUGGGGAAUAUUGGACAAUGGGGGGAACCCUGAUCCAGCCAUGCCGCGUGUGUGGAGAAGGCCUUAUGGUUGUAAAGCACUUUAAGCGAGGAGGAGGCUACUCUAGUUAAUACCUAGGGAUAGUGGACGUUACUCGCAGAAUAAGCACCGGCUAACUCUGUGCCAGCAGCCGCCGUAA